AUGAAACAAAAUGAUUUGAAUAAAUCAUCAUUAAAGCAGUACGAAGAUGUAAUUGAGGCUCUAAAAAAUAAAGAAUUCGGCCAAACCGUGUUUGAUGUUUUGCAAAACAUAUUUUUAGAAGAAAAAGAAAAUACAAAAUUAAAAUAUGAAAACUUGGUUGACCAAAUUGAAAAAAUAAAAAUAUAUUUUGAUGAAAAAGUUGACGCACUUAAAAAUAACACCCAUGAAAAUUUGGUAGAAAUAAAAUAUUACUUAGACCAGUUAAAUAAAAACAAUAAAGAAAAUGCAGCUGAAAAUAAUACACUAAAAGACGAUUUUUGUGCUUUACAAGAUGAUAUUCUUAAAUUAAAAAAACAAAAAGAGGAAAACAUAAAUAUCAUGAAGACAAGCAUGAGGACUUAUUUUGAUAAAAUCAAAAAUAUGCUAAAUGUCAUGAACACAAAUGUUGAAAGUAUACAGAAAGAACUUAUAACAUACAAAGAAAAUAAUACAAUUGAAAAUAAAAAAAAAAAUAUUGAAAUUUUGCAAAUAAUAAAUGAUGAAAAUGAAAAGUUAAACAAAAGAUUGGAAGAAUCCUUUAACUCUUUAAACAAAGAUAUAAGGGAAAUUAACGAGUAUAUUAGUUGUUUUAAAGAUUCUGUAACAAAUAGUGUGAAAGAUAUAGAGCAAAAAAUAGAAAUAAAUAUAAAAGAAAUUGACAAAAAAUUUCAUACGAUAUCAAUAAAUCAAAAGCAACUUCUAGAUGAUUUUUACACAUCUGAAAAAAGUUAAGCCAAAAAAAAAAAUAAAUAAAUAAAAAAUACAAUAAAAUAACA
rnacentral:lncRNA from 1 species